CUCCUCCUGAUGUAUUUCUCUUUUGGCUCCUUUGUCUUCUUGUGCAUAUCUAUCAUUAAAAUUUACAAAACCCUCUGUUCUUAUUGUGUUACAGUUAUCCCAAAUUGGUAAAAUGGAAGCAACCCAAUUAGCUGGACAGCUUCAAAAUCUACAAACACCUAAUAAAGAAGAAAAGGGUUUGGAAAUAGAAGAAAAACCCUGUCCUAAAUCUCGGGUUAUACCUUCUCGUUGCACUCGUUCUCAGGUUGCUGUCGAAUGGACUCUACAGGAAAUGUUAACUCUCGUGAAUGAGAUCUCAGCUGUUGAAGGGGAUUCCCUGAAGGUCCUGCCUUCUUACCAGAAAUGGAAAAUCAUAGCUGACAACUGCAGUGCUCUUGAUGUUGUACGACCUUUAAAUCAGUGCCGCAAAAAGUGGGACUCAUUGCUUGUUGAAUACAAAAAGAUCAAGGAGUGGGGAUCCCAUACAAUGAUUGACUCAUAUUGGUCCUUGGAAAAUGAAAGAAAAAUGAAGUUGGGGCUUCCUAGUACUUUUGACAGAGAACUGUUUGAAUUAAUUGAUGAUAUUGUAAAGGAUCAGGAUGAUCGAUCAGAUAUGGAUACAGGAACUGAUUUGGAAGAGCCUGACAUGCUUGAGGUCUUAAUGGAUUCUGGUUCAAAGAAAUGUAAGCGCAAGUCUGGCCCUAAAAAAAGCAAGUUACACAGGGAGAAAGUUAUGGCUACAAAAUUACGUGAGAACGCAGAACUCAUCUUUGCCAUAGUUAAAGGAGACCUGAGUGGAAACACGGACAACGGGUUGGCUGACAUGAAGAACCAAACUAUAUUUGCUAGGCAGCAAGGUGAUGAACUGAUCAAAGUUCUAGGAAAUCUUGCUGGUACCCUUGACCAACUUUCCAAUUUGAUCAAGUAGAGCUGGUGAUUUUCCAUCGCUGUCAACUGUAAGGUUAUCUGAUAACUAAUGUAUCUGUAGGAUGUAGCUUCUAUCACCCCUUAUGUGGAACUCAGAUAUGGUUAUUUGACUGUGUUGGGAUCAUGACUUGACUUUUGAGCUUGCUUGUGUUA